rnacentral:rRNA from 1 species
AUUGAACGCUGGCGGCAGGCCUAACACAUGCAAGUCGAGCGAGCGGCGGACGGGUGAGUAAUGUAUGGGGAUCUGCCUGAUGGCGGGGGAUCACUACUGGAAACGGUAGCUGAUACCGCCUACCCUCAGAUAAACCCAUCUGGGAUUAGCUAGUAGGUGAGGUAACGGCUUACCUAGGCGACGAUCCCUAGCUGGUCUGAGAGGAUGAUCAGCCACACUGGGACUGAGACACGGCCCAGACUCCUACGGGAGGCAGCAGUGGGGAAUAUUGCACAAUGGGCGAAAGCCGGAUGCAGCCAUGCCGCGUGUAUGAAGAAGGUCUUCGGGUUGUAAAGUACUUUAAGUCGGGAGGCGUUACCGACAGAAGAAGCACCGGCUAACUCCGUGCCAGCCGCCGCGGUAAUUC